rnacentral:tRNA from 3 species
GUCCUCGUAGCUUAAAAGGAUAGAGCACGCGCGUCCUAAGCGCAUGAUGGCAGUUCGAUUCUGCCCGAGGACA